GACGAACGCUGGCGGCGUGCUUAACACAUGCAAGUCGAACGGAAAGGCCCUGCUUUUGUUGGGUGCUCGAGUGGCGAACGGGUGAGUAACACGUGAGUAACCUGCCCCUGACUUUGGGAUAACUUCAGGAAACUGGGGCUAAUACCGGAUAGGAGCUCCUGCUGCAUGGUGGGGGUUGGAAAGUUUCGGCGGUUGGGGAUGGACUCGCGGCUUAUCAGCUUGUUGGUGGGGUAGUGGCUUACCAAGGCUUUGACGGGUAGCCGGCCUGAGAGGGUGACCGGCCACAUUGGGACUGAGAUACGGCCCAGACUCCUACGGGAGGCAGCAGUGGGGAAUAUUGCACAAUGGGCGGAAGCCUGAUGCAGCAACGCCGCGUGCGGGAUGACGGCCUUCGGGUUGUAAACCGCUUUCGCCUGUGACGAAGCGUGAGUGACGGUAAUGGGUAAAGAAGCACCGGCUAACUACGUG
rnacentral:rRNA from 1 species